rnacentral:tRNA from 1 species
GCGGGGGUAACGAAGCCUGGUCAAACGUGCGGGACGCGACUGCCCGACUCAAGAUCCCGUCCCUUAGGGGUUCGUGGGUUCGAAUCCCACCCCCCGCA